rnacentral:rRNA from 1 species
UACGGAGGGUGCAAGCGUUGUUCGGAAUUACUGGGCGUAAAGCGUGUGUAGGCUGCCCCGCAAGUCGGGUGUGAAAGCCCUGGGCUCAACCUGGGAAGUGCACUCGAAACUGCGGGGCUGGAGUCCUGGAGAGGAAGGCGGAAUUCUCGGUGUAGAGGUGAAAUUCGUAGAUAUCGAGAGGAACACCGGUGGCGAAGGCGGCCUUCUGGACAGUGACUGACGCUGAGUGAGCGAAAGCCAGGGGAGCAAACGGG